rnacentral:lncRNA from 1 species
AUGGCGGAGUUCGACACCAUCUCGGAAUUGGAGGAAGAAGAAGAGGCAGCAACAUCGUCCUCGUCUCCGUCGUCGUCGUCGUCGUCGUCGUCGUCCGUAUCUGGGCCCGAUGAGGACGAGGAAGAUGAGGAGGAGGAAGACGAGGAGGAGGAAGACGAGGAAGACGAGGAAGAAGAAGAGGAGGAGGAGGUGCCGCCCCCGCCUCGGGUAGUGAGCGAGGAGAAUCUGCGGAGAUAUGCCCCAGACCCUGUGUUGGUGCGCGGCGCCGGCCACAUCACUGUGUUUGGAUUGAGCAACAAGUUUGAUACAGAAUUUCCGUCAGUUCUGACAGGGAAGGUGGCUCCAGAAGAAUUUAAGACCAGCAUUGGCCGCGUGAACUCAUGCUUGAAAAA